rnacentral:rRNA from 1 species
CAGUAGCGUAUAUUAAAGUUGUUGCAGUUAAAAAGCUCGUAGUUGGAUUUCUGGUACGCUGCGCCUGGCCCGCCCGCUUCGAGCGUGGUGUGUGCUGGAGCGCGGUUGCCAUCCUUCUAGAGAACGUUUCUACCCUUCGCUGGGCUGGAUUCGCAAUCUAGAUCUUUUACUUUGAAAAAUUAGAGUGUUUAAAGCAGGCAUUUGCCAUGAAUACAUUAGCAUGGAAUAAUAAUAUAGGACUUUGGUUCUAUUUUGUUGGUUUCUAGGACUAAAGUAAUGAUUGAUAGGGAUAGUUGGGGGUGCUCGUAUUUAGCGGCCAGAGGUGAAAUUCUUGGAUUCGCUAAAGACGAACUUAUGCGAAAGCAUUCACCAAGGAUGUCUUCUUUAAUCAAGAACGAAAGUUGGGGGAUCGAAGACGAUCAGAUACCAU